AGUAACUGCGAGUGAAGUGGCAAAAGCUCAAAAUUGAAAUCCGGUACCUCUGGUGCCUGAGUUGUAAUUUGGAGAGACAAAUUUGGUUGACGGUGCCGGCCUAGGUUCCUUUGAACAGGACAACGCAGAGGGUGAGAAUCCCGUGCCUGGCUGGACUGCCGUCGCGCUUCUAAAUUGUCUUCGACGAGUCGAGUUGUUUGGGAAUGCAGCUCAAAAUGGGUGGUAAAUGUCAUCUAAAGCUAAAUAUUGGCGAGAGACCGAUAGCGCACAAGUAGAGUGAUCGAAAGAUGAAAAGCACUUUGAAAAGAGAGUCAAAAAGUACGUGAAAUUGCUGAAAGGGAAGCGCUUGAGACCAGACUCGAACCGUGGUGAUCAGCCGUGCUUCUGUGCGGUGUCACUUGCCACGGUUCGGGCCAGCAUCGGUUCUGGCGGCCGGAUAAAAGGCGGUGGAAUGUAGCUUCCUUUGGGGAGUGUUAUUAGCCCCCACCACAAUGCGGCCAGCCGGGACCGAGGACCGCGCGGGCUUCCCGCUAGGAUGCUGGCGUA
rnacentral:rRNA from 1 species